rnacentral:rRNA from 1 species
AAGGUGCUUGCAUCUUGAUUUAAUUUUGAACGAGUGGCGGACGGGUGAGUAACACGUGGGUAACCUGCCCUUAAGUGGGGGAUAACAUUUGGAAACAGAUGCUAAUACCGCAUAAAUCCAAGAACCGCAUGGUUCUUGGCUGAAAGAUGGCGUAAGCUAUCGCUUUUGGAUGGACCCGCGGCGUAUUAGCUAGUUGGUGAGGUAACGGCUCACCAAGGCAAUGAUACGUAGCCGAACUGAGAGGUUGAUCGGCCACAUUGGGACUGAGACACGGCCCAAACUCCUACGGGAGGCAGCAGUAGGGAAUCUUCCACAAUGGACGCAAGUCUGAUGGAGCAACGCCGCGUGAGUGAAGAAGGCUUUCGGGUCGUAAAACUCUGUUGUUGGAGAAGAAUGGUCGGCAGAGUAACUGUUGUCGGCGUGACGGUAUCCAACCAGAAAGCCACGGCUAACUACGUGCCAGCAGCCGCGGUAAUACGUAGGUGGCAAGCGUUAUCCGGAUUUAUUGGGCGUAAAGCGAGCGCAGGCGGUUUUUUAAGUCUGAUGUGAAAGCCCUCGGCUUAACCGAGGAAGUGCAUCGGAAACUGGGAAACUUGAGUGCAGAAGAGGACAGUGGAACUCCAUGUGUAGCGGUGAAAUGCGUAGAUAUAUGGAAGAACACCAGUGGCGAAGGCGGCUGUCUGGUCUGUAACUGACGCUGAGGCUCGAAAGCAUGGGUACGAACAGGAUUAGAUACCCUGGUAGUCCAUGCCGUAAACGAUGAAUGCUAGGUGUUGGAGGGUUUCCGCCCUUCAGUGCCGCAGCUAACGCAUUAAGCAUUCCGCCUGGGGAGUACGACCGCAAGGUUGAAACUCAAAGGAAUUGACGGGGGCCCGCACAAGCGGUGGAGCAUGUGGUUUAAUUCGAAGCAACGCGAAGAACCUUACCAGGUCUUGACAUCUUUUGAUCACCUGAGAGAUCAGGU